CUUGCUUUCUUUGCUGGCGACCGGCGCACGGGUGAGUAACACGUAUCCAACCUGCCCUUUACUCGGGGGUAGCCUUUCGAAAGAAAGAUUAAUACCCGAUAGCAUAAUGAUUCCGCAUGGUUUCAUUAUUAAAGGAUUCCGGUAAAGGAUGGGGAUGCGUUCCAUUAGGUCGUUGGUGAGGUAACGGCCCACCAAGCCUUCGAUGGAUAGGGGUUCUGAGAGGAAGGUCCCCCACAUUGGAACUGAGACACGGUCCAA
rnacentral:rRNA from 1 species